rnacentral:rRNA from 1 species
AUUGAACGCUGGCGGCAGGCCUAACACAUGCAAGUCGAACGGUAACAGGAAGAAGCUUGCUUCUUUGCCGACGAGUGGCGGACGGGUGAGCAAUGUCUGGGAAACUGCCUGAUGGAGGGGGAUAACUACUGGAAACGGUAGCUAAUACCGCAUAACGUUGCAAGACCAAAGAGGGGGACCUUCGGGCCUCUUGCCAUCGGAUGUGCCCAGAUGGGAUUAGCUAGUAGGUGGGGUAACGGCUCACCUAGGCGACGAUCCCUAGCUGGUCUGAGAGGAUGACCAGCCACACUGGAACUGAGACACGGUCCAGACUCCUACGGGAGGCAGCAGUGGGGAAUAUUGCACAAUGGGCGCAAGCCUGAUGCAGCCAUGCCGCGUGUAUGAAGAAGGCCUUCGGGUUGUAAAGUACUUUCAGCGGGGAGGAAGGGAGUAAAGUUAAUACCUUUGCUCAUUGACGUUACCCGCAGAAGAAGCACCGGCUAACUCCGUG